rnacentral:tRNA from 1 species
GCCUGGAUGGCGGAAUUGGUAGACGCAAGGGACUUAAAAUCCCUCGGUGAUUUCACCGUGCCGGUUCGAUUCCGGCUCCAGGCACCA